rnacentral:rRNA from 1 species
GACGAACGCUGGCGGCGUGCUUAACACAUGCAAGUCGAACGAGUGGCGAACGGGUGAGUAACACGUGGGUGAUCUGCCUUGCACUUCGGGAUACGCUUGGGAACCUGGGUCUAAUACCGGAUAGUGCAAGAUGAGCUCGCGGCCUAUCAGCUAGUUGGUGGGGUAAUGGCUACCAAGGCGCGACGGGUAGCCGGCCUGAGAGGGUGUACGGCCACAUGGGGACGCCGAGACGGCCAAGACUGCCACGGGUGGCAGCAGUGGGGGAUAGUGCACAAGGGGCGAAAGCCUGAUGCAGGUACGCCGCGUGGGGGAGGAAGGCGUUCAGGUUGUAAACCUGUUUCGAAGUCGAACGGGUAGGGGGAGAAGAAGCGCCGGCUAACUACGUGCCAGCAGCCGCGGUAAUAC